rnacentral:tRNA from 1 species
GCGGCGGUCGUCUAGCUGGACUAGGAUGGCGGCCUUCCAAGCCGUUGAUCCCGGGUUCAAAUCCCGGCCGCCGCA